ACACAAAACAAGUUGGGCUGGCAGCCAUGAUGGACCGCAGGACGGCUUCUGGAUGUGGACUGAUGGUUUGAAGUUUGUCUUUGAUUCCUGGGGACCCAACGAGCCAAACAAUAGUGGUGGAGAUGAAAGAUGCAUGAACAUCAACUUAAGAGGACAAGAUUUUGUGAACGAUGAGCACUGUCACUAUAGGUUUCCGUUCACCUGCGCCAGAGUCGUCUAACUUUUCUCCUCUUGUGGUUAAAAUCUGACAUGACCAUGUAACUUUCCUGCUGGUGAUGUCACUUCCACCUGGAUGUAAAGCCUCGAUGACAUCACUGGUGGAAGACAAUAUUAAUCUUCUGUCUCAACAUUCAAUUCAAUCAAUUCAAUAAAUCUUUUUC